GACGAACGCUGGCGGCGUGCUUCACACAUGCAAGUCGAGCGGAGCGGCGAACGGGUGAGUAACGCGUGAGUAACUGCCCCCCUCUAUGGGAUAAAAGUUGGAAACGGCUGCUAAUACCGGAUAGUGGGGGAUGACUCGCGUCCUAUCAGCGUGUUGGUGGGGUAGUGGCCUACCAAGGCGACGACGGGUAGCCUGCCUGAGAGGGAGACCGGCCACAUUGGGCUGAGAUACGGGCCAAACGCAUACGGGAGGCAGCAGUGGGGAAGAUUGCACAAUGGGUGAAACCCUGAUGCAGCAACGCGCGUGCGGGAUGACGGCCGUCGGGUUGUAAACCGCUUUCAGCCAUGACGCGGUAGUGGAAGAAGAAGCACCGGCUAACUACGUGCCAGCAGCCGCGGUAAUAC
rnacentral:rRNA from 1 species